AACUCAUCCAGAGAGGUGGAGGGACCGGCCCAAUGAUACCUCGGCAACCA
rnacentral:ncRNA from 1 species